rnacentral:rRNA from 1 species
GAUCAAGCCACUAAGGGCGCAUGGUGGAUGUCUUGGCGUCGAGAGGCGAUGAAGGACGUUGGAGCCUGCGAUAAGCCUAGAGGAGCUGGCAACCGAGCUGUGAUCCUAGGAUGUCCGAAUGGGGAAACCCGGCACAUUUGUGUCAUCGUGCGCUGAAUGCAUAGGCGUACGAAGCGAACCUGGAGAACUGAAACAUCUCAGUACCCAGAGGAAAGGAAAGCAACAGCGACUCCGUAAGUAGCGGCGAGCGAAAGCGGAUUAACCAGUACGCGCGACGAACCGGUUGGAAAACCGGGCCAGAGAAGGUGACGGCCCUGUAGCCGCGUAGCUGGUGAGGCCUAGAGUAAUGUCGGUCUCGUGAAACCCGGCAUGAAGAUGGGGGGUCCACCCUCCAAGCCUAAGUACUCCUCGACGACCGAUAGUGAAUCAGUAAGGCGACUGAAUGAUGACAAGCACCCCUACACGGGGAGUGAAAGAGUACCUGAAACCAUGCGCUUACACAGCGGUCGGAGCCCCUUCGGGGGUGACGGCGUGCCUUUUGCAUAAUGAGCCGGCGAGUUGCUCUGUACGGCGAGGCUAAGGACUGACGGUCCGGAGCCGGAGCGAAAGCGAGUCUGAAUAGGGCGCAUAGUCGUACGGGGCAGACGCGAAACCUUGUGAUCUACCCAUGGCCAGGUUGAAGAGCGGGUAACACCGCUUGGAGGACCGAACCCGUUAACGUUGAAAAGUUAUGGGAUGAGCUGUGGGGAGGAGUUAAAGUCUAAUCAAACUGGGAGAUAGCUCGUUCUCUCCGAAAUAUCUUUAGGGAUAGCCUCACAGUGCAAGCGAUGGAGGUAGAGCUACUGGAUGGCGUUGGGGGCCUACCCGGCUACCCGCGCCAACCAAACUCCGAAUGCCAUCGCCCAAGUUGUGGGAGUCAGUCCACGAGUGACAAUAUCCGUGGACAAAAGGAGAACAAUCCAGACCACCGGCUAAGGCCCCGAAUCUCUGCUCAGUUCGAAAGGAAGUUGAAGUGCCGUGACAGCCAGGAUGUUGGCUUAGAAGCAGCCACCAUUUAAAGAGUGCGUAACAGCUCACUGGUCGAGGACUUCAGCGCCGAUAAUGAUCGGGAAUAAGCAGAGAGCCGAAGCCGUGGACUCACUUUGUGAGUGGUAGGAGAGCGUUCCUGUCGGCGUCGAAGCGGUUCCGGAAGGAUCCGUGGAGCGUCAGGAAGUGAAUAUGCCGGCUUGAGUAACGAUAAUGCAGGUGAGAAUCCUGCACGCCGAAAGCCCAAGGUUUCCUGGGGAAGGUAAAUCCGCCCAGGGUUAGCCGGAUCCUAAGGCGAGGCCGAAAGGCGUAGUCGAUGGACAUCAGGUAAAUAUUCCUGAGCCUAUGUGGAGAUCAAUCCACGGUGCGAAUCCCAAAGUUCCGCAGAAGCGCUAGCUGUCUGAGGCCUUCGAGGCCGACGCGGGGUAGAGGGGUUCCGAGAAAAGCCGUGGUGGCGAAGCAUGGUCCGUACCAAAACUGACACAGGUGGGCGUGGUGAAUAACCUAAGGCGCUCGAGAGAACGGUCGUGAAGGAACUAGGCAAAUUGACCCCGUAAGUUCGCGAUAAGGGGGCCCUACCCGUAAGGGAGGGCGCAGAGAAAAGGCUCUGGGAACUGUUUAUCAAAAACACAGCACUGUGCUAACUCGUAAGAGGACGUAUACAGUGUGACGCUUGCCCAAUGCCGGAAUGUCACGGAAGCGGGUUAGCUUCGGCGAAGCUCGCGACCCAAGCACCGGUCAAUGGCGGCCGUAACUAUGACGGUCCUAAGGUAGCGAAGUUCCUUGUCGGGUAAGUUCCGACGCGCAUGAAU